rnacentral:rRNA from 1 species
UUAGAGUUUGGAUUCAUUGCUCAGGACGAACGCUGGCGGCGUGCUUAACACAUGCAAGUCGAACGAUGAUGCCCAGCUUGCUGGGUGGAUUAGUGGCGAACGGGUGAGUAACACGUGAGUAACCUGCCCUUGACUUCGGGAUAACUCCGGGAAACCGGGGCUAAUACCGGAUAUGAGCCGCCUUCGCAUGGGGGUGGUUGGAAAGUUUUUCGGUCAGGGAUGGGCUCGCGGCCUAUCAGCUUGUUGGUGGGGUGAUGGCCUACCAAGGCGACGACGGGUAGCCGGCCUGAGAGGGCGACCGGCCACACUGGGACUGAGACACGGCCCAGACUCCUACGGGAGGCAGCAGUGGGGAAUAUUGCACAAUGGGCGAAAGCCUGAUGCAGCGACGCCGCGUGAGGGAUGAAGGCCUUCGGGUUGUAAACCUCUUUCAGCAGGGAAGAAGCGCAAGUGACGGUACCUGCAGAAGAAGCGCCGGCUAACUACGUGCCAGCAGCCGCGGUAAUACGUAGGGCGCAAGCGUUGUCCGGAAUUAUUGGGCGUAAAGAGCUCGUAGGCGGUUUGUCGCGUCUGGUGUGAAAACUCGAGGCUCAACCUCGAGCUUGCAUCGGGUACGGGCAGACUAGAGUGCGGUAGGGGAGACUGGAAUUCCUGGUGUAGCGGUGGAAUGCGCAGAUAUCAGGAGGAACACCGAUGGCGAAGGCAGGUCUCUGGGCCGCAACUGACGCUGAGGAGCGAAAGCAUGGGGAGCGAACAGGAUUAGAUACCCUGGUAGUCCAUGCCGUAAACGUUGGGCACUAGGUGUGGGGCUCAUUCCACGAGUUCCGUGCCGCAGCAAACGCAUUAAGUGCCCCGCCUGGAUGCGCGU